rnacentral:tRNA from 1 species
UGGUCGGGAUAGCUCAGCUGAGUAGAGC